CCGGAGGCGACCGGCGGAGACCACCUCACCGGCGACCUGCAGGCUGCGGCCAGGAGGGCAAGAGGACUCGGCGUCUCGGCAGAUGAAGAAAGAGAAUGGUGCUGGGCUUGCUGGAAGCAGCAUAUAUGCAAUGUGGAAUAAAGCUUCAAAAGCAAAGAAGAUAGAUGAAAGAAUUAUGUGAAGAAUAAAGCUUCAAAAGCAAAGAAUUAUGUGAAGAAUAAGCUAAGAAACAAGAUGGGUGAUGAUUACUUAAACAAUUGCAUGGUUACAUUUGUUGAGAGAGAAUUAUUCAAUCAAGUGAAGGAUGAGGAUGUCAUCAAUCUCUUUCAAAAGGGUGCCCGCAAAGUUAUAUUGUAAGAGGUACUUCCUCUUUCCAUUGAAAUUUGUUGUUGUACUUCGAUUUGUAUGGAUUUAAGCACUUUAGUAUUAUGUAUUGUACUGGAAUAAUUGUUAUAGUUCUACUGAAAUUACUGUCCAACUUUGAGAAAAAAAAAUUGGCUGGUGGGAAUACCCACCAGCAAUUUCC